UAUGUUGUAGCUCAAUGGUACAGCACUUGCCUAGCAUGUGAGAGGCACUGGGUUCAAUUCUCAGCACCACAU
rnacentral:tRNA from 1 species